rnacentral:rRNA from 1 species
UACGUAGGGUGCAAGCGUUGUCCGGAAUUAUUGGGCGUAAAGAGCGUGUAGGCGGCCCGAUUAGUCCGCUGUGAAAGUCCAGGGCUCAACCCUGGAAAGCCGGUGGAUACUGUCGGGCUAGAGUCCGGAAGAGGCGAGUGGAAUUCCUGGUGUAGCGGUGGAAUGCGCAGAUAUCAGGAGGAACACCGAUAGCGAAGGCAGCUCGCUGGGACGGUACUGACGCUGAGGUGCGAAAGCGUGGGGAGCGAACAGG